UACGUAGGGGGCAAGCGUUGUUCGGAUUCAUUGGGCGUAAAGGGUGCGUAGGUGGCGCGGUAAGUCGGGUGUGAAAUCUCGGAGCUUAACUCCGAAAUUGCAUUCGAUACUGCCGUGCUUGAGGACUGGAGAGGAGACUGGAAUUCAUGGUGUAGCAGUGAAAUGCGUAGAGAUCAUGAGGAAGACCAGUGGCGAAGGCGGGUCUCUGGACAGUUCCUGACACUGAGGCACGAAGGCCAGGGGAGCAAACGGG
rnacentral:rRNA from 1 species